rnacentral:lncRNA from 1 species
UGAACUUCCUUUUUCUUUCCCUCCCUUUCGAUCUGCUCUCAACAUAUGCAUAUAUUUUUAUUAUUUGAAUAAUAAAGCCAUGCCCCGUUUUAAGUAUUGUAGCCCCUGACCAUUGAUGCCCUGUCCGACUGACGUAGAGCCCCGUAACGUAUGUCAAGGCUCCGCCUAAAUUCGUUGGGGUUCUGUCUCGUGACGUAGGGAUAAAGUAGAAUUGGGUCACUAUACUUAAUGUGAGUGCACUAUAUAUGUUAUUAAAUAACUCAGGAGUGAUACCCAAAAUAUAACAACCCUCCUAAAACACCCCUGACACCCCUACACUUCCUAAAAUACACCACAUAUGUGAAAACCGAGCCGAAAUAUAAUAUAGCAUUAAAAAUAAAUGAAAAACAAGAAAUAGUAAGUUGAGGCGGGCCGCAUAGACCUCACCUCAACUUAACGCGGGCCGCAUUAAGGUAUAACCGGACUCCGCUAAAAUCCUUAGUUCAUGCGGGCCGCGUAUGAGUUCGCCUAAUUUCAUGCGGGCCGCGAGAGUCCCAAAAGGUGGCGCAGCUUUGGGCCGCCACGUGGCCCAACACAUGUCGAAGCUAGGCUAUGACUCGGAUCACCUACGCUGUUGACCAGCAUUGACGCGGGCCGCGUAGACUUUGGUCUACCCUUACGCGGGCCGCGAGAAAACCCAGGUGAAGCCCUAUAAAAGCAGGCCAUCGGAUCUUCAGUUGAAUUCGCUCACAAACGUUCCUUUCUCUCUCAAUUCUCAUAGUAGGCUUAUUAUACGCGGGUAUAAUACCCCCCUAAUUAGCGAAGCUCUGCCUCGUUGUAAGUAUCAUAACCCUGGAUACGUAUUAGGUACUCUGCCCGAUUGAUCUAGGGUUCCGUAACGGCUGUCGUGGUUCUGCCCGACGUAGUCGUUGGAAUGCCGUCUCGGGGAGGAUUAUAACCAGGGAAUCACAAAGGAAAGCCCUAUAAUAGCAAUGUAAUUUAGUGUAAAGCCAAUAGAAGCCAGCUGGAGAGCACUGAAGGCUUGGAAAAGUGGCAAUAAAGUUACCUGAAAUAAAAUAGAUGUUUUUAUUAAAUAAAAUAGGAUUUAUUCCUAUAAAAAUGUAUGUACUGAAAAACUUGGGUUUUAUCCCAUGUGUUUAAUAUAAUAAAAAUAUGGUGGUUUUACU